rnacentral:rRNA from 1 species
CCUAACACAUGCAAGUCGAGCGGUAGCACAGAGGAGCUUGCUCCUUGGGUGACGAGCGGCGGACGGGUGAGUAAAGUCUGGGGAUCUGCCUGAUGGAGGGGGAUAACUACUGGAAACGGUAGCUAAUACCGCAUGACGUCUUCGGACCAAAGUGGGGGACCUUCGGGCCUCACGCCAUGAGAUGAACCCAGAUGGGAUUAGCUGGUAGGUGAGGUAACGGCUCACCUAGGCGACGAUCCCUAGCUGGUCUGAGAGGAUGACCAGCCACACUGGAACUGAGACACGGUCCAGACUCCUACGGGAGGCAGCAGUGGGGAAUAUUGCACAAUGGGGGAAACCCUGAUGCAGCCAUGCCGCGUGUGUGAAGAAGGCCUUCGGGUUGUAAAGCACUUUCAGCGGGGAGGAAGGCAAUGAGCUUAAUAAGUUUGUUGAUUGACGUUACCCGCAGAAGAAGCACCGGCUAACUCCGUGCCAGCAGCCGCGGUAAUACGGAGGGUGCAAGCGUUAAUCGGAAUGACUGGGCGUAAAGCGCACGCAGGCGGUCUGUUAAGUUGGAUGUGAAAUCCCCGGGCUCAACCCGGGAACAGCAUUCAAAACUGACAGGCUAGAGUCUCGUAGAGGGGGGUAGAAUUCCAGGUGUAGCGGUGAAAUGCGUAGAGAUCUGGAGGAAUACCGGUGGCGAAGGCGGCCCCCUGGACGAAGACUGACGCUCAGGUGCGAAAGCGUGGGGAGCAAACAGGAUUAGAUACCCUGGUAGUCCACGCUGUAAACGAUGUCGACUUGGAGGUUGUGGUCUUGAACCGUGGCUUCCGGAGCUAACGCGUUAAGUCGACCGCCUGGGGAGUACGGCCGCAAGGUUAAAACUCAAAUGAAUUGACGGGGGCCCGCACAAGCGGUGGAGCAUGUGGUUUAAUUCGAUGCAACGCGAAGAACCUUACCUACUCUUGACAUCCAGAGAAGACUGUAGAGAUACGGUUGUGCCUUCGGGAGCUCUGAGACAGGUGCUGCAUGGCUGUCGUCAGCUCGUGUUGUGAAAUGUUGGGUUAAGUCCCGCAACGAGCGCAACCCUUAUCCUUUGUUGCCAGCACUUCGGGUGGGAACUCAAAGGAGACUGCCGGUGAUAAACCGGAGGAAGGUGGGGAUGACGUCAAGUCAUCAUGGCCCUUACGAGUAGGGCUACACACGUGCUACAAUGGCGCAUACAAAGAGAAGCGAGCCUGCGAGGGUGAGCGGACCUCAUAAAGUGCGUCGUAGUCCGGAUUGGAGUCUGCAACUCGACUCCAUGAAGUCGGAAUCGCUAGUAAUCGUAGAUCAGAAUGCUACGGUGAAUACGUUCCCGGGCCUUGUACACACCGCCCGUCACACCAUGGGAGUGGGUUGCAAAAGAAGUAGGUAGCUUAACCUUAGGGGGGGCGCUUACCACUU